rnacentral:misc_RNA from 1 species
AACGCACAUUGCACCCUCUGGUAUUCUGGGGGGUAUGCCUGUUCGAGCGUCAUUUCAACCCUCAAGCCCAGCUUGGUAUUGGGUGUCACCUGGCAAUGGUGCACCUUAAAAUCAGUGGCGGUGCCAUCUGGCCUCAAGCGUAGUAAAACAAUCGCUUUGGAGGUUUGGAUGGUGUGCUUGCCAUCAACCCCUAAUUUACCAAAGGUUGACCUCGGAUCAGGUAGGGAUACCCGCUGAACUUAA